UAUCUCUGUAGAGUCUGCAUAUCAAUAAGCGGAGGAAAAGAAACUAACUAGGAUUCCCUCAGUAACGGCGAGUGAAGCGGGAAGAGCUCAAAUUUGAAAUCUUCAAGGUUUUACCCUGACGAAUUGUAGUUUAAAGAAGUGUUUUCUGUUGGAGUUUUGGUAAAAGUUCUUUGGAAUAGGACAUCAUAGAGGGUGAGAAUCCCGUAUUUGACCAUUACUUCCAGCGUUGUGAUACACUUUCAAAGAGUCGGAUUGUUUGGGAAUGCAGUCCAAAAUGGGUGGUAAAUUUCAUCUAAAGCUAAAUAUUGGCGAGGGACCGAUAGCGAACAAGUACCGUGAGGGAAAGAUGAAAAGAACUUUGAAAAGAGAGUUAAACAGUACGUGAAAUUGUCAAAAGGGAAGCGUUUGACACCAGUGUUGUUUUCUCGAAAAUCAAUUAAAAAAGGCAGGAUUUUGUGUUGUAUUGACUUUAUCAGCUUUCUGCACUCUUUUCUUGUCUUUUUUUAAUGCACUUUUCGUUUAACAAGUCAACAUCAAUUUCUUUUGUUGUAAAAGGGUCAUUGGAAGGUGGCUUUCUUUUCGGAGAAAGUGUUUAUAGCCUUUGGCCUCUGCAAUCGGAGAGAUUGAGGUCUGCAGCGUAGAUCCUUCGGGGCUAGAUACGUAGAUGCUAAGUUAUAGUUUUCUAUAGACAACUUGUUGACUAUAAUUAAUCAUGUAGCUCACUCGUUUGCGCUAUUUUACCUACGCUUAGGAUGUUGAAGAUGUAGCACAUCAU
rnacentral:rRNA from 1 species